GAGCAAAGAUAGAGUGGAUGGCAAAUUCUCCCUCUCUUCCUGCUCCCAUUUAGAUGAUCUCACCUCCUUGCUCUGCUUAACUGUGGGCUUAAGUAUGGCUCCCGAUAUUGUUUGUUAACUUUAAUCAUAUUGGAGAUAAGUCUUUGAGCUUCAAUAAAAUAGCCACCUGGUAAGAAUUACAUGUGACUAGGUGGAGUGUCAUUUAUAGGUUAAGCACUCAGAAAGAGGGGCAGGUUGGGGCAUCCUAUUACUCCCAAUAGCUCUGUUCUAUACAAACAACUUUCUUUGCUGGAUAAUCUGUGCCAAAAUAUUACCAAAUAGCUUGGAAACAGGUUAGAAUUUUGCCCUUUAGGGGAGAAAAAAGACCAUGGAGUUGAAUUUGGAAGGGAAUCUUGGAAAAUAU
rnacentral:lncRNA from 1 species